AGAGUUUGAUCCUGGCUCAGGAUGAACGCUAGCUACAGGCUUAACACAUGCAAGUCGAGGGGCAGCGCGGCGGAAGCUUGCUUCCGCUGGCGGCGACCGGCGCACGGGUGCGUAACGCGUAUCCAACUUGCCCUUGUCCCGGGGAUAGCCUCGCGAAAGCGAGAAUAAUACCCGGUGUAGCCACGGUUCCGCAUGGAAUUGUGGCGAUAGGUCCGCCGGACAAGGAUAGGGAUGCGUCCCAUUAGGCAGUAGGCGGGGUAACGGCCCACCUAACCGACGAUGGGUAGGGGUUCUGAGAGGAAGGUCCCCCACAUUGGAACUGAGACACGGUCCAAACUCCUACGGGAGGCAGCAGUGAGGAAUAUUGGUCAAUGGGCGCAGGCCUGAACCAGCCAAGUAGCGUGAAGGAUGACUGCCCUAUGGGUUGUAAACUUCUUUUAUAUGGGAAUAAAGUUUUCCACGUGUGGAAUUUUGUAUGUACCAUAUGAAUAAGGAUCGGCUAACUCCGUGCCAGCAGCCGCGGUAAUACGGAGGAUCCGAGCGUUAUCCGGAUUUAUUGGGUUUAAAGGGAGCGUAGGUGGAUUGUUAAGUCAGUUGUGAAAGUUUGCGGCUCAACCGUAAAAUUGCAGUUGAAACUGGCAGUCUUGAGUACAGUAGAGGUGGGCGGAAUUCGUGGUGUAGCGGUGAAAUGCUUAGAUAUCACGAAGAACUCCGAUUGCGAAGGCAGCCUGCUAAGCUGCAACUGACAUUGAGGCUCGAAAGUGUGGGUAUCAAACAGGAUUAGAUACCCUGGUAGUCCACACGGUAAACGAUGAAUACUCGCUGUUUGCGAUAUACUGCAAGCGGCCAAGCGAAAGCGUUAAGUAUUCCACCUGGGGAGUACGCCGGCAACGGUGAAACUCAAAGGAAUUGACGGGGGCCCG
rnacentral:rRNA from 1 species